GCCAGACUCCUACGGGAGGCAGCAGUGGGGGAUAUUGCACAAUGGGGGAAACCCUGAUGCAGCAACGCCGCGUGAGUGAAGAAGUAUUUCGGUAUGUAAAGCUCUCUCAGCAGGGAAGAGAAUGACGGUACCUGACUAAGAAGCCCCGGCUAACUACGUGCCAGCAGCCGCGGUAAUACGUAGGGGGCGAGCGUUAUCCGGAUUUACUGGGUGUAAAGGGAGCGUAGACGGCUGGUCAAGUCUGAAGUGAAAGCCCGGGGCUUAACCCCGGAACGGCUUUGGAAACUGAGCAGCUAGAGUGCUGGAGAGGUAAGCGGAAUUCCUAGUGUAGCGGUGAAAUGCGUAGAUAUUAGGAGGAACACCAGUGGCGAAGGCGGCUUACUGGACAGUAACUGACGUUGAGGCUCGAAAGCGUGGGGAGCAAACAGGAUUAGAUACCCUCGUA
rnacentral:rRNA from 1 species